AAUCAGGGCCCAAUCAGCUGACUGUCAGCUGGGACGGGCUGGCUUAACCCUUCCUGCGCCGCUGCCUACCCGGGAGGGAACGAGGCCCGGCGCAAAGUUUGGUAUUUUAAAGCGAUAGGCAAGUCGAAGAAGCAGAGAUUUAUUUGGAGAGAAAGCUCCUGAAACCGACCCAGCCUUUGGAAGACCAGCCCGUCUGCUUAGAAGUUGGGACUGUUGAUUCCUUCAAUUAAUGAAAUGCAUUUGGUGUUUUUAAUCGUAUUUAUUUUACUUUAUGAGAAGGGGGAGACGCUAGGAGGGUGCAUUAAAAAAAAAAAAAAAUUCUGAAAAGCCUGCAAAAGGAUCGAAGAGUGGAAACUAUUGUUGGAGCGAGUUGGUUUUUACCUCAACAGCGCCACCUUUCGGCAAAGGUUUCUUCCUUGGAAAACAAUAUACAUCACUUAAUGAAAUCUUUGUUUGUUUUGCACAAGAGAUGUAAAAAAUCCAGAUGUUUUCUUCAGUGAGAAUUCCUGGGAAGGUGUACCAGCCUUCUUCUCUUUCUUCACCUGACAAAGACACCCAACACGGCCUCUCAGACCGGAGGUGUUUAAUAUAUAGUUUUGACACGCAUGAACAUGGGAAUGAAAGGGCUCCUUUUGGUUUUAGACAAUAGACAGAGCUAUAAAAUGAUGAUGGAGCCUGUUUUCCCCACUCUUGUCAUUUUAAGUCAAUAGAUUUCCUGGGUUUCUUCCCCCGCCCCCCCACUUUGCCUUUUCAGGGGAUAGGCAUCUCCUUAGAUUUUUGUUUUUCUUCACUUAGGGUCAGCUUUAUGAUUCGUUCUUCUGCUGUCAUCCUUUUUCAUCCUAUUCACAGCCUGUACCGGUGAGGGAAUUUGUCUCAAAAGCAUUCAGCCCUUCAAAGAUUUUUAUUGUGGUGAACUCAGAACUGAUAAACAGAAAAACAGAAACAGAAAAAGGGAACUGAUAUGGGGGCGAUCUUGAUGCGGGUUGUGUCUCUCAUGCAUGAUAACUCAGAGGACAGGCUCCUCGGUAGUGCGGUAGUGCUAACUCUGUGAAGUUUCUUCACCCUCCUUCCUAGCCCUGGAGGCGGGGUGAUUCAUAGCUCCUGUUCCAAAGGCAUUCAGCAGCCAUUCGACCUGGGAAAGAAACAGAGUUUUAGAAAAUACAGGCCAAAUGUAGAGACGCCUGUGAUUACCAGGAUGAGUAUGUCAGUGCAGGUGGCUUCUGAAUUUCUGUUUCUGAGUUUGUUUGGCUGAUGCCUAAGGAAAGGGGUCCCUUACAGCCCUGUUUUAUACCUUAGUUCUUGGUGGCAACGUGGGUGUUGCUGAUCUCUCUGAUGUGUUUUUCUGUGCACUGAAAACACCAGACAUGCUCCGUGACAUCCUCGGAGCAUCUCCCAUCAUAAUGGAGUGUUCCUAACCUGACAAAGAAUAGCAUAUUACCUCCCCAUCUACUCAAAAUAAAAUUAUAGUAAAAUUUAUCGCCCUUCUGCUAAUAUUUUUUAUUUAGUAACUUUAUAACAGUGAUACAUACUCCUUAUUAAAUAUAAACAUUUGAACAGGACAGAAAUAGAAGGAUAUUCAAUAAAAGAACUGCUACUCCUCAUCUCCACCCCAGUCCUUAAACCCUGGUCUCGGGGGUUACCAUCUGUAAUAGUUGGGGUAUAUGUGGGUACUUUUUACAGAAUGGCAUCGAAGCAUGUACAUAGUUCUUUAACUUGUGCUCCCUUUAAAACACAUUCAUGUUAACAAUCUCAGAAAGAGAUGUUGGGCACUUCUGUCUUCUUUGGCAGAACUCGCCUAAUGGAACCUCAGACCGGGGGAAGUUUGGAGAUCUGAUCUUAACCUCGUCCUUCCAACCGGUAUAGGAGCUUGAAUCUGCUUUAGAUCACCAACUUCCCUGCCAUUUCCUGACGCCAAUUUUGAAGCCAGGGGGCUCAGAGGCAUUUUCUUCAACAGAAGAGUUCAGAGUUUCAGUGUCCACCUUUGAGCUGCAACUAGUCCCUCAGUGGUGUAAAUAUGCAUGCUGCUGCAGAAUCUCCUGUUCCAGGAUCCCACCUCGACCCCUUUCAGAGAAAUCUGGGAAUGAGAGAAGGAACCGGCCCAGGAGUGAUUUAUGACCUGCUGUCUGUGUCCUGCCUGAGGAAGCAUGGCUCUGGCUGUUUGAAGCAGACCCAGACUGGGAUCCUCAGAGAUUGGAAGGAGUGAUGGGGACCCUUCAGGAAAAUGUCACCGACCGUUGACUCUCAGCUCAGCUCGAAGCUGCUGAUGAGGGGGUAGGCUUGGUUGCUGUCACAGUGAUGUGAGCUCAGGCAGUUGGGGUUGGGGAAGAGGGACCAGCCAGGAGACAAAGCAUCUGAGUUCAGC
rnacentral:lncRNA from 1 species